rnacentral:rRNA from 1 species
UAAUACCAGCGGUCCGAGUGGGACUCGCAUUUACUGGGUCUAGAACAUCCGUAGCUGGUCUUAAAAGUCUCGUGUUAAAUUGUUUCUCUUAAGGUAACAAAUGCACAAGAUACUAUAAGACUUGAGACUGGGAGAUGUAGUGAGUACAACAAGGGUAGUGGUAAAAUACGUUAAUCCUCGUUGGACUAACAAUGGCGAAGGCACACUACAAGAACAGAUCUGACAGUCAGGGAUGAAGGCCAGGGGCGCAAAACGGAUUAGAUACCCGUGUAGUCCUGGCUGUAAACGCUGCCUACUAAACAUUGUGAUCUCCUUGAGAGAUGGCAGUGCUGGAGCGAAGGCGUAAGUAGGCUACCUGGGGAGUAUAGUCGCAAGAUCG